CGUUGAUCUACAAUUACCACAGCUACGAUGACAGAAAAUCACAUCCUUUGGAGCCGGAGGUGGCACAGUGCAGAGUUCUGGGUUGGCAGGCCAUACCCAUGGCAGGGUCGCAGGAAAAUCCUGGAACAAUGAAUGAGAGCUCCUGUUGCAGAGACACAAGAGCAGAAACUGCCCUGGGAACCAGUGCCUGGCUAGGGAAAACUGAGAAGGCAACAUAAAAAUGUUGAAUGAAUGAAAAAAAGUGAAGGAAGUGCAGAUACAUGGAGGAAGAGAAUUCCAGGCAGAGGAAACACAAAAUAUGAAGACUUUAAAGUGGGAGUGGUCUGUGUAGUGUCUUCAAUGAACGCCACAGAGUUAUGAGCUGGAGUGGAGUAAUGAUGAGAAGAAAAGUAGAAGAUGACAUCAGAAAGAUUGGCAGAUAGGAUUGUGGAUAGUCACAAAGCCCUGAGCUAACAUCUGCUGCCAAUCCUUCUCUUUUUGCUGAGGAAGCCUGGCCCUGAGCUAACGUCC
rnacentral:lncRNA from 1 species